rnacentral:rRNA from 1 species
UACGUAGGCAGCAAGCGUUGUUCGGAAUUACUGGGCGUAAAGAGUGUGUAGGCGGUGCUCUAAGUUCGGUGUGAAAUCUCCCGGCUCAACUGGGAGGGUGCGCCGAGAACUGGAGUGCUGGAGCGCGGGAGAGGAAAGCGGAAUUCCUGGUGUAGCGGUGAAAUGCGUAGAUAUCAGGAGGAACACCGGCGGUGUAGACGGCUUUCUGGACCGUAGCUGACGCUGAGACACGAAAGCGUGGGUAGCAAACAGG